rnacentral:tRNA from 1 species
UAUGGCAGAUNAAUUGAAUGGAUUUAAGCCCCAUUUAUAAAGUCUAUACNUUUUUUAGAAAAAUA